ACAGAAUAUAUGAUGGAAGUGUUGCAGGUGGGCUGCUCUGUCACACCUGUAUCGUAGGUAGGUGGCGGAGAGAGAAGAGGCUGUGUCUACACUCAUUGUUCCUCUAAGAACAUCUGAACGAUCACCAGCCUAACAUU